rnacentral:rRNA from 1 species
AGAGUUUGAUCCUGGCUCAGGACGAACGCUGGCGGCGUGCCUAAUACAUGCAAGUCGAACGAAGCUUUCUUUCACCGAAUGCUUGCAUUCACCGAAAGAAGCUUAGUGGCGAACGGGUGAGUAACACGUAGGCAACCUGCCCAAAAGAGGGGGAUAACACUUGGAAACAGGUGCUAAUACCGCAUAACCAUGAACACCGCAUGAUGUUCAUGUAAAAGACGGCUUUUGCUGUCACUUUUGGAUGGGCCUGCGGCGUAUUAACUUGUUGGUGGGGUAACGGCCUACCAAGGUGAUGAUACGUAGCCGAACUGAGAGGUUGAUCGGCCACAUUGGGACUGAGACACGGCCCAAACUCCUACGGGAGGCAGCAGUAGGGAAUCUUCCACAAUGGACGAAAGUCUGAUGGAGCAACGCCGCGUGAAUGAAGAAGGCCUUCGGGUCGUAAAAUUCUGUUGUCAGAGAAGAACGUGCGUGAGAGUAACUGUUCACGUAUUGACGGUAUCUGACCAGAAAGCCACGGCUAACUACGUGCCAGCAGCCGCGGUAAUACGUAGGUGGCGAGCGUUGUCCGGAUUUAUUGGGCGUAAAGGGAACGCAGGCGGUCUUUUAAGUCUGAUGUGAAAGCCUUCGGCUUAACCGAAGUAGUGCAUUGGAAACUGGAAGACUUGAGUGCAGAAGAGGAGAGUGGAACUCCAUGUGUAGCGGUGAAAUGCGUAGAUAUAUGGAAGAACACCAGUGGCGAAAGCGGCUCUCUGGUCUGUAACUGACGCUGAGGUUCGAAAGCGUGGGUAGCAAACAGGAUUAGAUACCCUGGUAGUCCACGCCGUAAACGAUGAGUGCUAAGUGUUGGAGGGUUUCCGCCCUUCAGUGCUGCAGCUAACGCAUUAAGCACUCCGCCUGGGGAGUACGGUCGCAAGACUGAAACUCAAAGGAAUUGACGGGGGCCCGCACAAGCGGUGGAGCAUGUGGUUUAA